UCACUGGUAGUUCAGUGGUAGAAUCCUUGCCUUCCAUGCAGGAGACGCGGGUUCAAUUCCUGGUCAGUACA
rnacentral:tRNA from 1 species